GAGGGAGGGAGGAAGGAAGGAAGGAAGGAAGGAGAGGGUCAACAGGUCCCUUCUUCUCUUCUCUUUUCUUUUCUUUUUCUUUUCUAUUCUAUUCUAGUUCUAGUUCUAGUGGCAAGCCAAGGCAGCGCAUCCCCACCAGCCGCCACCGCCACCGCCACCGCCACCACCGGCAGCGGGAAGGCGGACGGAUCCCUUCCCCUCGACCUCCAUUCCAUUCCAUUCCAAUCUGCUCCUGCUCUCGGAAUCGGAAUCGAAUCGGAAUUGGAUCAAAGAGAAGAAGCAAGAUCCACAAGUGCUCUGCUCUGCUCUGCUCUGCUGCCGGCCAAGAUCCAAGUCAACCAAACCAAACCAAACCAAACCAGCGUCGUCGUCGGAAGGAUGCUGCGGCGGCACAAGGAAUCGGCGUCGGCGUCGGAUUCCACCUUCUACCAGCUGCGCGCCGACUGCGCCCACAACGUCCCGGACACCAAGUUCAAGAUCAAGAUUGGCAAGACGCUGAGCGUACGCAAAUGGCACGCCGCCUUCACGCACCACGGAUCCCUCCACAUCGCCUCUGUUCUAAACCGGAUUCAGAGCGGGGGUGUGCAUCCCGCAAUCAGAGGAGAGGUCUGGGAGUUCCUGCUUGGCUGCUUCGAUCCCGAGAGCACCUUCGAUGACCGCGACCACAUCAGGCAAGCAAGAAGGAUACAGUAUGCCAGAUGGAAGGAACAAUGCAAACACAUGGACCCUCACGUCGGCAGCGGCAAAAUCAUCACCGCCCCCAUCAUAACCGAGGAUGGCGUGCCUAUCAACGACCCUCUGGUUUUACUCGAAGCCACUGCAGCAGACCAGCAACCUGGUUCAACCACCACCACCAGCAAUGCAGAUGAGUCGUCUUCGUCGUCGUCGUCAUCUGCAAACCACCGUCUCACCGAUAAACACACCAUCGAGUGGAAGCUUACGCUACACCAAAUCGGUCUUGAUGUUCUACGCACUGACCGCUCCAUGCUCUUCUACGAGAAGAAAGAGAAUCUCUCCAAGUUAUGGGAUAUUCUAGCUGUAUACGCAUGGAUCGACAAAGAAGUUGGUUACUGCCAAGGAAUGAGUGAUUUAUGCUCACCGAUGAUCGUGCUACUCAAUGACGAAGCAGAUGCGUUUUGGUGCUUUGAGAGACUCAUGCGUAGACUGCGCGGGAAUUUCAGAUGCACACAGCAAUCCGUUGGGGUUGAGAACCAGCUUCAGCACCUUGCCUCUAUCAUUCAGGUGCUGGACCCAAAGUUACAUGACCACCUCGAAAGACUUGGCGGAGGCGACUAUCUCUUUGCAUUCCGUAUGUUCAUGGUAUUGUUUCGCCGUGAACUGUCAUUUGGGGACUCCUUGUACCUUUGGGAGAUGAUGUGGGCUCUAGAAUAUGACCCUGACAUGUUCUCCACCUAUGAAGAGAGCGGGCCUGCAACUGACAGAAGUGCUCAAGGAUAUAAACCAAGAGUAAAAUCAACCCGUCAGUUUGGCAAGUACGAGAGGGCGAAUAUGAAGAGUGCUACUAAUGGUGUUGAUGGGCCUGUCCCUAUUUCUGUUUUCCUGGUUGCUAGUGUAUUGAAAGAGAACAGUCAGAAGCUGUUGCAAGAAGCCCGGGGAUUAGAUGACAUUAUUAGGAUAUUGAACAAUGUUAACGGGAACUUGGAUGCAAAGAAGGCUUGCGCUGGUGCACUGAAACUUCACGCCAAGUACCUUAGAAAGAUGCAGGGAAAGAAAGCCUAACAUAGCACAGACACGGACACUUGCGGUCUCACAAUUGUACCACCUGGAGGGACACGGACACGGUCUCAAAAUUGUAUGUAAAUUUGAAUGCAGAGCUUUGUUGUUUGGAAACGUUGAAGUUUCAUAUAUGCGCCAGCCAACCAACCAACCAACCGGUAAAAUAUGUAUAAGCAAGUCAAGUGUAUUUUUCUUGGUUUUCCAAGUGUAAGAAAGAUUCUUUCUUUCUUUUUGCUCAAAAGAAGAAGAAGAAGAAGAGGUCAUUUUAAUGUGUAAUUAAUUAUGUCAUUGUUAUCAAAGGAAAAGGGAUAAUUAAAGGCAAACGUAUGUUUUUAUGUCUGUCCGUGGGCCAAAAGAAAAGAAAAGAAAAGAAAAGAAAAAUCUUGCUU
rnacentral:rRNA from 1 species